rnacentral:rRNA from 1 species
AGGCAGCAGUGGGGAAUAUUGCACAAUGGGCGCAAGCCUGAUGCAGCCAUGCCGCGUGUAUGAAGAAGGCCUUCGGGUUGUAAAGUACUUUCAGCAGUGAGGAAGGUGGAUAUGUUAAUAGCAUAUUCAUUUGACGUUAGCUGCAGAAGAAGCACCGGCUAACUCCGUGCCAGCAGCCGCGGUAAUACGGAGGGUGCGAGCGUUAAUCGGAAUUACUGGGCGUAAAGCGCAUGCAGGUGGUUUGUUAAGUCAGAUGUGAAAGCCCGGGGCUCAACCUCGGAAUUGCAUUUGAAACUGGCAAACUAGAGUACUGUAGAGGGGGUAGAAUUUCAGGUGUAGCGGUGAAAUGCGUAGAGAUCUGAAGGAAUACCGGUGGCGAAGGCGGCCCCCUGGACAGAUACUGACACUCAGAUGCGAAAGCGUGGGGAGCAAACAGGAUUAGCUACCCUGGUAG